rnacentral:rRNA from 1 species
GACGAACGCUGGCGGCGUGCUUAACACAUGCAAGUCGAACGGAAAGGCCCUGCUUUUGUGGGGUGCUCGAGUGGCGAACGGGUGAGUAACACGUGAGUAACCUGCCCUUGACUUUGGGAUAACUUCAGGAAACUUGGGCUAAUACCGGAUAGUAGCUCCUGCUGCAUGGUGGGGGUUGGAAAGUUUCGGCGGUUGGGGAUGGACUCGCGGCUUAUCAGCUUGUUGGUGGGGUAGUGGCUUACCAAGGCUUUGACGGGUAGCCGGCCUGAGAGGGUGACCGGCCACAUUGGGACUGAGAUACGGCCCAGACUCCUACGGGAGGCAGCAGUGGGGAAUAUUGCACAAUGGGCGGAAGCCUGAUGCAGCAACGCCGCGUGCGGGAUGACGGCCUUCGGGUUGUAAACCGCUUUCGCCUGUGACGAAGCGUGAGUGACGGUAAUGGGUAAAGAAGCACCGGCUAACUACGUG